UGGGGAAUAUUGGACAAUGGGCGCAAGCCUGAUCCAGCAAUGCCGCGUGUGUGAAGAAGGCCUUCGGGUUGUAAAGCACUUUAAGCAGGGAAGAAAAAACUCGGUCUAAUACAUCGAGUCUUGACGGUACCUGAAGAAUAAGCACCGGCUAACUCUGUGCCAGCAGCCGCGGUAAUACAGAGGGUGCUAGCGUUAAUCGGAUUUACUGGGCGUAAAGCGUGUGUAGGUGGUUGUUCAAGUCAGUUGUGAAAUCCCCUGGGCUUAACCUGGGAACUGCUUCUGAGACUGAACGACUAGAGUACGGUAGAGGGUGGUGGAAUUUCCGGUGUAGCGGUGAAAUGCGUAGAUAUCGGAAGGAACAUCAAUGGCGAAGGCAGCCACCUGGGCCUGUACUGACACUGAGACACGAAAGCGUGGGGAUCAAACAGGAUUAGAUACCCUGGUAGUCCACGCCGUAAACGAUGAGAACUUGACGUCGGUUUGCUCUGCAAGUCGGUGUCGUAGCUAACGCGAUAAGUUCUCCGCCUGGGGAGUACGGCCGCAAGGUUGAAAC
rnacentral:rRNA from 1 species